CGAUUUUAUUAGGGUUCCGUAGCCAAAUGGCAAAAAACGGAACCCUUAUAGAUUCGUCAUGUCUGUCUGUCUCUUGGAACUGAAACUCAAUUUUUUUUUUCAUCAAACCCAUACGUGUGGGGUAUCUAUGGAUAGGUCUUCAAAAAUGAUAUUGAGGUUUCUAAUAUCAUUUUUUUCUAAACUGAAUAUUUUGCGCGAGAGACACUUCCAAAGUGGUAAAAUAUGUGUCCCUCCCCCUGUAACUUUUAAAAUAAGAGAAUGAUAAA